rnacentral:rRNA from 1 species
UACGUAGGGACCAAGCGUUGUUCGGAUUUACUGGGCGUAAAGAGCUCGUAGGCGGUCUGUCGCGUCGGUCGUGAAAACCUGCAGCUUAACUGUGGGCGUGCGGUCGAUACGGGCAUGACUGGAGUUCGGCAGGGGAGACUGGAAUUCCUGGUGUAGCGGUGAAAUGCGCAGAUAUCAGGAGGAACACCGGUGGCGAAGGCGGGUCUCUGGGCCGAUACUGACGCUGAGGAGCGAAAGCGUGGGGAGCGAACAGG